rnacentral:rRNA from 1 species
CCUACGGGUGGCAGCAGUGAGGAAUAUUGGUCAAUGGACGAGAGUCUGAACCAGCCAAGUAGCGUGAAGGAUGACUGCCCUAUGGGUUGUAAACUUCUUUUAUAUGGGAAUAAAAUGUUCCACGUGUGGGAUUUUGUAUGUACCAUAUGAAUAAGGAUCGGCUAACUCCGUGCCAGCAGCCGCGGUAAUACGGAGGAUCCGAGCGUUAUCCGGAUUUAUUGGGUUUAAAGGGAGCGUAGGUGGAUUGUUAAGUCAGUUGUGAAAGUUUGCGGCUCAACCGUAAAAUUGCAGUUGAGACUGGCAGUCUUGAGUACAGUAGAGGUGGGCGGAAUGCGUGGUGUAGCGGUGAAAUGCUUAGAUAUCACGAAGAACUCCGAUUGCGAAGGCAGUUCACUGGACUGCAACUGACACUGAGGCUCGAAAGUGUGGGUAUCAAACAGGAUUAGAUACCCUUGUAGUC